CUUCCAUCUGGAAGAAUCUGGAGACAGGUGCUGCAUGGCUGUCGUCAGCUCGUGUCGUGAGAUGUUGGGUUAAGCCCCGCAACGAGCGCAACCCUUGCCUUUAGUUUGCCAGCAGUUCGGCUGGGCACUCUAAAGGGACUGCCGGUGUUAAACCGGAGGAAGGUGGGGAUGACGUCAAGUCCUCAUGGCCUUUAUGACCAGGGCUACACACGUACUACAAUGGCCGAUACAAAGGGCAGCGACACUGCGAGGUGAAGCCAAUCCCGUAAAAUCGGUCUCAGUCCGGAUUGGAGUCUGCAACUCGACUCCAUGAAGUUGGAAUCGCUAGUAAUCGUGGAUCAGCAUGCCACGGUGAAUACGUUCCCGGGCCUU
rnacentral:rRNA from 1 species